ACUGAACGCUGGCGGCAUGCCUUACACAUGCAAGUCGAACGGCAGCACGGGAGCAAUCCUGGUGGCGAGUGGCGAACGGGUGAGUAAUAUAUCGGAACGUGCCCAGUCGUGGGGGAUAACGCAGCGAAAGCUGUGCUAAUACCGCAUACGAUCUAUGGAUGAAAGCGGGGGAUCGCAAGACCUCGCGCGAUUGGAGCGGCCGAUAUCAGAUUAGCUAGUUGGUGAGGUAAAGGCUCACCAAGGCGACGAUCUGUAGCUGGUCUGAGAGGACGACCAGCCACACUGGAACUGAGAAACGGUCCAGAGUCCUACGGGAGGCAGCAGUGGGGAAUUUUGGACAAUGGGCGAAAGCCUGAUCCAGCAAUGCCGCGUGCAGGAUGAAGGCCUUCGGGUUGUAAACUGCUUUUGUACGGAACGAAACGGUGAGCUCUAAUACAGUUUGCUAAUGACGGUACCGAAAGAAUAAGCACCGGCUAACUACGUGCCAGCCGCCGCCGUAAGAC
rnacentral:rRNA from 1 species